rnacentral:lncRNA from 1 species
UUCUGAACUUCCAGAACUCCAGAAAGCCUUUCAGCCCAAUUUAAUAUGGAAUAAAGCAAAAAGCAUGGUUUGAUUCCAGACCAAGUCGGUCAGGCAACAGUUAGAUAAGUAUAAUUAGACUUGUAAUUGGAAUGCGUUGUAGACAAUUAGUUUUUGUAAAUGUGUGUAAUUUAAUCCCAAGUAAAGGGUCAGGAGGACCUUGCUGUGAAAGAGGUUAAGGAGUAACAUGUAUAAUUUCCAGGCCUUCUGAUGCUCAGCUGGAGAAGAGCAUGUCCAUCUUUCCAAUGGCAGCAAAAAAUCCACCCUCCCCAAGAGCUCUGGAAUGCUGUGAAGACUCCCUGCCCAGGCACACUCCUCUCCGGAUUAUCUCCAUCCCAAGGAAGCUCGUAUCCAAGAGACAGGAAAGCCUUGGAUGCCGUGGAGGUUGCAGCUGUUGCUGUUUGAUACGGUUCGGACUCUUCUUUCUAUUAAAUGAUCUUUGCUACAGAAGCGCUUUACAUUUUAAAAUGAGAAGUGAUUUCUGGGUCAAGAAAUGCAUAAGCUGAAGCUCCAGAAACACUCUGUGCCUGGUGUAUUUUAUUGUGUUGAUUUAGAAAGUUAAUAAACAUCAGGUCUUCAGCA